AUUGAACGCUGGCGGCAUGCUUUACACAUGCAAGUCGAACGGCAGCGCGUGCUUUGGCCUGUCGGCGAGUGGUGAACGGGUGAGUAAUGCAUCGGAACGUGCCCAGUAGUCGGGGAUAGCCCGGCGAAUGCCGCAUUAAUACCGCAUACGAUCCGCGGUUGAAAGCGGGGGACCUGAAGGCGUUGGGCUACUGUAUCGUCCGAGGUCGGGUUAGCCAGGUGGUGUGGUAAAGGCUUACCAAGGUGAUGACCCGUAGCUGGACUGAGAGGACGACGGGCGACAGUGAGACUGGGACACGGCCCAGACCCCGACGGGAGGCGGCAGUGGGGGAUUUUGAACAAUGGGGGCAACCCUAAGCCAGCCAUGCCGCGUGCGGGAGGAAGGCCUUCGGGUUGUAGACCGCUUUUGUUCGGGAAGAAAUCCUAUGGGCUAAUACCCCAGGGGGAUGACGGUACCGGAAGAAUAAGCACCGGCUAACUACGUG
rnacentral:rRNA from 1 species